CGUCUGCCAGACAAGAUUGCGCAUGGCUGCGAUGCGUACCACGGCAAAAAGUUGACCCUGCUUUGCACCCACAGCCCACCAACGAAUGUUACGUUAGAACAGAGAGCAGGCUCAUUCUUCAUCUCUAAAGGAUGGAAAACCUUUACCCAAAGUGUUGGCCUACGUUUUGGACAAUAUAUUCGCUUGAGGAUUACCUCUUCAUCAACGCUUGAUGUCCUCAUGUUUGAUAAAGAUGGAGCCAGCAAACUCCCUUUAGCUACUUCAUCCAACCAUCAGAUGAAGAGCAAGGCAAGUAAAUAUAUCCAUCAACCAUCCAAGGGUAUUGUAAUCAGAGAAGGACCUCCCAAGAAAGCAACUGUCGUUUCCAGCACCUCAACUGAAGGUCCUACUUUACCACUUAACAUACUAUUAUUUCAUGGAGCUGUGCUUUUGCGCAAAAAAAAUGUCCAGCCCACAACUGAUCUAAAAAAGUACAUCGAAGCUAUUAAGCGCUUCUAUGCUGUGACCAUCAACAGCACAUUCAUCAAGCAAGAUAGAGUUGUAAGCUCUUGCAACAUUCAUGAUAAACUAACAUACCGUGCAAUUACAGUACUUUACAAAGGAAUUUUCACAGAACUACAUAAAACCGCUAAUGGAAGGAGGUAUUUCAACCAGCAUGAUCCUCCACGUUUCAACAUAUGGCCGUUGCAACUCGAAGAAAGGGUGGACAAAGUUCGCAGCACAGAUGACAUAGCUCUCGGAUCAGUUUGCAUCUUCCAUUUCUACAUGACAACCUGCCUGGAGGUUACUAUUGAUGUCCUGUGA
rnacentral:lncRNA from 1 species